UUUCGUUGAGAAAAGUCGGAAAACCACGGCAAGAUUCUAGUCCUCGCUUCUCUCCCCCUUUCCCAGCAAUCUAGGGUUCCUUCUCUCUCGCAAAUCACCCAAUUCACGGUUACAUCACAUAUAUUUACAUAUACGCAACGCACGAAUAAUCAGCACAAACAACGAUUAACGACGGCAACGACGACUUUAUUUCUCUUCUAGAUAGACUAGAUUCGAGAUCUCAAAGGUGCUGUUCUGCCUCAUCGUAUAAUCGGGGAUGACGAUUCCGGAUUCGAUGUUCAUGUUGGAGAACGCAGGGAGUUGCUUGCCUUGCACGCCAGAAGAGGAGUUAAAGAUUGUCACGGACUUGACCAACAAGGCUGAAUCUCACUUGAAGGAGGGAGACUUACAUUACGUGGUUUCAAAAAGGUGGUUUUCAAGCUGGCGGAGGUAUGUUGGAAUAAAUGAUGACUCAGAUCAUGGUCAAUCUUCUGAUUCACAUUAUAUGGAUGUGAUUCCUUCGAAGGCGGGCAAUAGGCCUGCUCCUAUUGAUAAUUCAGAUAUAGUUCAAAGCGGGAGUGAUUCUGAGGGUGAUGAACCUGAGCUCCGGAGAUCAUUAGAAGAAGAGUUGGACUAUGUUUUAGUCCCUCAAGAAGUUUGGGAAAAGCUUGUUGAGUGGUACAAAGGAGGACCAGCUUUACCAAGAAAGUUGAUUUUAGUGGGAAAUACCUUCGGUGUGGAGGUUUACCAGCUUUCUCUUAAUUUGAUCGAUUCCAGGGAUAAUAGCCAAUCAACCAUUCGUUUGAGCAAAAAGGCUUCAUUAUGCGAGCUUUACGAGAAGGUGUGCACACUUAAAAAGAUUGAGAAAGAAAAGAUCUGUUUAUGGGACUACUUUAAUAAGGAGAAGAAUGCAUCUUUACCUGUUUCAAACCAAACAUUGGAGGACUCACAUUUGCAGAUGGACCAAGAUAUUCUCUUGGUGCUGACAGCUGACGGACUUCAUUCUUCUCGGUUGAGUGUGGAUUCUAUGGGAAAUGAAUUAGCUUUGGUACCUCUGGAACCUUCUAGGUCAUCCAUGUCAAUCGCAGGGGGACCAACCAUGUCAAAUGGUCACUCGACAGGCUAUGGUUUAAAUCUGUAUCCAGGAAGUUCUUUAAACUCAUCAUCGACAGAUGUAGAUGAUGGAUAUAACAUCUAUGGCUCCACAAGAAAAGAAGAGAGAGGAGGUUUGGCUGGGUUGCAGAAUUUGGGAAAUACUUGCUUUAUGAAUAGUGCCCUACAGUGCUUAGUUCAUACACCCCCUCUUGUUGAGUAUUUCUUGCAAGAUUACUCAGAAGAGAUCAACACCAAAAACCCUUUAGGAAUGCAUGGUGAGCUUGCACUCGCCUUUGGAGAACUCUUGAGGAGGUUGUGGUCUUCAGGGCGAACUACUAUUGCACCACGGGUAUUUAAGGGGAAACUUGCUCGAUUUGCUCCCCAGUUCAGUGGUUAUAACCAACAUGAUUCUCAAGAACUUCUUGCCUUUUUACUGGAUGGGCUGCAUGAGGAUUUGAAUCGUGUUAAACAAAAGCCGUACAUUGAAAUGAAAGACUCAGAUGGUCGUUUCGAUGAGGAAGUUGCGGAUGAGUGUUGGAGGAAUCAUAAGGCUCGGAAUGAUUCCGUGAUUGUGGAUGUUUGCCAAGGUCAGUACAAGUCUACGUUAGUUUGUCCAGUUUGCAAGAAAAUCUCAAUUACAUUUGACCCCUUCAUGUACUUGUCAUUGCCAUUACCUUCGACUCUCAUGCGGAUGAUGACUGUGACAGUCUUCUGUGGAGAUGGAAGCGGUCUUCCUAUGCCAUACACUGUGACAGUUCCAAAGCAUGGUUACAUUAAAGAUCUUAUCCAGGCAUUGAGUACCGCGUGCUGUUUGAAGAGUGACGAGACCCUUCUGAUUGCAGAGAUCUAUGAUCACCAUGUUUAUGGAUAUUAUGAAAGGGGUUCAGAACAAUUGGCCUCAAUCAAGGAUGAUGAACAUGUAGUGGCCUAUCGGUUUAGAAAAGGGGAAGCGAAAACCAGACUUGAAAUUGUUCAUCGAUUCCGGGAAAAGUAUAAAUCGGACACUGUAAAGGGAAGUGAGAGGAAGUGUUUCGGAACAUCAUUGGUUGCAUAUUUGAAAGAAAACCCUGUAAGUGGAGCUGAUAUUGAAGUAGCUGUUUCUACAGUGCUGUCACCUUUGAGAAGAAUUCGCUCGCCUGCUAAUACUUGUAAUGGCAAAGAAAAUGGCUUUCCUUCUGAAGUUGUUGAGGAAUUACUGGAGAGCUGCAAUGCUCAGUCAAUAUCAAGAGACCAGCCUAUGGAAAAUGUAGAAAUAGGGGGCUCAUUGAACCAGGAGUUAUCUUUCCAGCUCUUUCUAACUGAUGAUCGCUUGAUGAAGUGCAUUCCUAUUCUAAGGGAUUCUGUUUUGAAAUCUGAAGGAGUUAUGAAGGUUUACCUGGACUGGACUGAAAAGGAACAGGAGUUAUAUGAUGCCAACUAUCUGAAGGAUCUUCCAGAGGUUUACAAGCAAGGGUACACGGCAAAGAAAACUCGGCAGGAAUCCAUUUCUCUUUUUUCUUGCUUGGAAGCUUUCUUGACGGAGGAACCUCUUGGCCCCGAUGACAUGUGGUACUGCCCUAGAUGCAAAGAACACAGACAAGCCACCAAGAAGCUUGACCUUUGGAUGUUGCCAGAUAUUCUAGUUUUUCACCUAAAACGGUUCUCGUACAGUAGAUACCUGAAGAACAAACUCGAUACCUUCGUGAAUUUCCCUAUCUACAAUCUUGAUUUGACGAAAUAUGUGAAAAGUAUGGAUGGGCAAUCAUAUAUGUAUGAGCUGUAUGCUAUCAGUAAUCAUUAUGGUGGUCUUGGGGGUGGACAUUACACUGCAUAUGCUAAGUUGAUCGACGACAAUAGGUGGUAUCAUUUUGAUGACAGCCAUGUUUCUCCAGUUACUGAAGCUGAUAUCAGGACUUCAGCUGCCUAUGUAUUAUUCUAUAAGAGAGUAAAAAGUGGAACAAAGUCAGGAUUAGGAGAGACAUCGCAGAGCCAUAGAAGUUCUUGAUUAGGUGCAUUUGAUUUGAGUAUUUUCAUGGUGGCGCUUUCUUUAUCCAAGGUGGACCCAACUUCAUUGAAGCAAUUUUAUCUGCCAGAAUACACUACCAAACUGAUUAGAAGUAUCGCGAUACAUAAUGUACAAACUUUAUCCGGUGUGUGGUUCUACUCUUAAUUCCUUUCACUAGGAAUGCUGAUCUGAGUGAUGGGUUGAAUUAUGAGGAUGAAAAUGAUACUUUUUGGGAUAUGAAUUUGGAGGGAUGCCUAUCAUGCGAUGCUGAAUGCUUGAAGCCUUGAAGAUAAGGGUGGAUUGCAACUCAUUCCGAUUGUCCGAAAGGCUCAUGGCAAGCCAAAAGCAUGGCGUGGAGGUGCUCCUUCACCAAAUUUCAUGUAAUAAAAUACCAUUUGGCUUAUUUUCUAGCAUCUGGUUUUGUGCAAAGGAGGCCCUAAAGCCUGAGUACGGAGUCAUUUUUAUUGGUACAAAGUUACACAAGCUCAGAUAAGAUCAUUCCAAUGCUCAUUGAAUAUCAGGAUCCUUGUAAGGAACCCUGAAAUGUUGAUA